GACAGAGGGUGCAAACGUUGUUCGGAAUUACUGGGCGUAAAGCGAGUGUAGGCGGUCUCCUAAGUCGGGUGUGAAAGCCCCGGGCUCAACCCGGGAAGUGCACUCGAAACUGGGAGGCUAGAGUAUCGGAGAGGUUGGUGGAAUUCCGAGUGUAGAGGUGAAAUUCGUAGAUAUUCGGAAGAACACCAGUGGCGAAGGCGACUCACUGGACACGUAUUGACGCUGAGGUGCGAAAGCGUGGGGAGCAAACAGG
rnacentral:rRNA from 1 species